rnacentral:rRNA from 1 species
GAGCUAUGCCUGCCAGGGGAUGGUUCGGUUCGAGUGCCGAUGAAGGGCGUGGUAAGCUGCGAUAAG